AACGCACAUUGCGCUCCCUGGCAUUCCGGGGAGCAUGCCUGUCCGAGCGUCAUUUCUGCCCUCAAGCGCGGCUUGUGUGUUGGGCGUGGUCCCCCUAUGGUUGGGGGACCUGCCCGAAAGGCAGCGGCGACGUUCCGCCCAGGUCCUCGAGCGUAUGGGGCUCUGUCACCCGCUCGGGACGGACCUGCGGGCGUCGGUCAUCCAACCCUUCUUUCCACGGUUGACCUCGGAUCAGGUAGGAGUUACCCGCUGAACUUAA
rnacentral:misc_RNA from 1 species